GACCGCGUAGCUCAGUUGGAAGAGCAUUGGGCUAGUAUUCCAAAGGUCGUAGGUUCGAAUGCCGCCGUGGCCA